GGGGAUUUAGCUCAGUGGUAGAGCGCUUGCCUAGCAUGCACGCAAGGCCCUGGGUUCAGUCCCCA
rnacentral:tRNA from 1 species